AAGGGUGAAAAGCGUCAUUCGAGGUCCGGGUCCGGCUUGCGGGGUCAGCGAACUGGAGAGGCGCCAUGGGCUGGAUCACAGAAGAUCUUAUUAGACGGAAUGCUGAACACAACGACUGUGUCAUUUUUUCCCUGGAGGAACUCUCGUUGCAUCAGCAAGAAAUAGAAAGACUAGAACACAUUGAUAAAUGGUGCCGGGAUUUAAAAAUUCUCUAUCUUCAAAAUAAUCUUAUUGGGAAAAUUGAAAAUGUUAGCAAACUCAAGAAACUUGAAUAUUUGAAUUUAGCUUUAAACAACAUUGAAAAAAUAGAAAACUUGGAAGAUGUCAUCUAUUGACUUCCUGAUGUGGACGAUGCAGAUUUUGUUCUCUCACACCAUCUGCAAGCUGGUCUCUCCAUCUCCACCUGUGUCAUGAAUUCCAGGCAGGAUGUGAAGAGCUGGCAAAACUUGACCUGACUGUGAAUUUCAUUGGAGAGCUGAGCAGCAUUAAAAACUUGCAGCACAAUAUCCAUCUGAAGGAGCUCUUUCUCAUGGGGAACCCAUGUGCUU
rnacentral:lncRNA from 10 species